CUACUACGAAGACCAAAAAAACUUCAAGCUGUAAACAAGAAAAACACAGCUCAAAUAUUAAUGAAGGAACAGAUAAGAUGUUCAAGAAUGAUUGUGAAGGUACAGACCCUGAAUGGACUCCUGAUGCCACUGAAAUGAGAGUUCUGGCCAGUGGCCAAACAGAGAAUCCUAAUAAGGUCUUGGUUGAGGCCAGUGAGACACUGCAGAGCAGCACCCACCGCAGUGCUGCUGCAGAGCUGGUUCUCAUGAAGCAGCAGCUCCACGAACAACAGCAGCAGGAGCU
rnacentral:lncRNA from 1 species